rnacentral:rRNA from 1 species
UACGUAGGGUGCGAGCGUUAAUCGGAAUUACUGGGCGUAAAGCGUGCGCAGGCGGUUAUGUAAGACAGAUGUGAAAUCCCCGGGCUCAACCUGGGAACUGCGUUUGUGACUGCAUAACUAGAGUACGGCAGAGGGAGGUGGAAUUCCGCGUGUAGCAGUGAAAUGCGUAGAUAUGCGGAGGAACACCGAUGGCGAAGGCAGCCUCCUGGGCCAGUACUGACGCUCAUGCACGAAAGCGUGGGGAGCAAAC